rnacentral:misc_RNA from 1 species
GAUGAAUAACGUAGCGAAAUGCGAUACUUGGUGUGAAUUGCAGAAUCCCGUGAACCAUCGAGUCUUUGAACGCAAGUUGCGCCCGAAGCCAUUAGGCCGAGGGCACGCCUGCCUGGGCGUCACACGUCGUUGCCCCCCCAUCUACUCCUUCGGGAUUGCGGGGGGCGGAUGAUGGCCUCUCGUGCGCCUCGUCGCGCGGUUGGCCUAAAUGCCAAGUCCUCGGCGACGCACGCCACGACAAUCGGUGGUUGCGAAACCUCGGUUGCCUGUCGUGUGCGGUCGUCGCGCAUCGAGGGCUCGAAAAAAUUGCCGGGCUUCGGCUCGACUUUCAACGCGACCCCAGGUCAGGCGGGGUUACCCGCUGAAUUUAAGCAUAUCAAUAAGCGGAGGA